UGUGGGUGGUAGGAGACGCU
rnacentral:miRNA from 1 species